GUAUUUCUCAGCAAGUGGUCAUCUAGUCUUUGCUUGAAAGCCUGAGGGGAAACCACUUGACCUAUGCCAGCUCAUUCCAUUUUUGGAAUAUUCCAAAAUCUUAAAUUGAUGCAAUCUUCCGGCAAUCCUCAAUCUGCAAUAUAAUCAUACUAAAUGGCACGUGACGAACAGAUUAUUUAUUUAUUUAUUUACUUGGUGGUUUUUUUUUUUUCGGCAGUAGGGGUUAAGUGACUUGCCUAGGGUCACACAGCUAGUAAAUGUUAUGUGUCUGAGGCCGGAUGUGAACUCAGGUCCUCCUGAAUCCAGGGCCAGUGCUCUAUCCACUGCGCCACCUAGUUGCCCCUAGACAAAUAGAUUAUUAAGGGACAAAGUGUUAAAUGAAGUCAGAGCGGGAAGUUACUGGUCUGAGAUUUAGAGUUCUGACCCUACUCUUCCAUAUAGUGUCUUUCCCGGCUCCUGGAAGCUGUUGCUGCCGGUGAGUGUGGGAGUGUGAAUCUAGCAUCGAAACUGGACGACCUCGUAGUGCUAUUGUCUUCACAGAUGAUUUGGAAAGUUAUCAAUUCAGAUUCACAUACACUUCAGAAUCACAAUAUGGCCUUGAAGUCCUUCCAUAUUAUGACACGGCUAUGCCACCAAGAGAUGGUCAAAUUGUUCCUGAAGAGCAUGAACUGCAGGGACAUAACCGAGGUGAUAGUAACACUCCACAUCUUCAGAGACGUAUUCCAGGAAGGUGAGUGUAUUCCGAACCUGGUUAUUGUUGACGAGAGGGAAUGGGAAGGCCUGGGUCUAGCAGAGUUUCUUCUUUUCAGAAGCAACGUGGUAGAGUGAGAGAAGCAACAUGGUAUAGUCGACUUGGAGCUCUAGUCCCAGCUGUGAGAGCUCGGGCAAGUCAUUCAUAUCUGAACCUCAGUUUCCUUGUCUGUACAAUGGGGAUGAUAAUACUUGCCCUAUCUACCUCAUAGGGUGGUAAGAUUUAAAUAACAUAAGAAAACAGAUUGUAAAGUUACAUACCAAUAUAAGUUAUUAUUAUUAUUCAUCAAAAACUGGGUGGGUAUUAGAUGCCCUAGGGAAGAUGCAGCUGUUUAACUUACAAGGAAUAAAAAUAGACCCACAAGUUCUAUCA
rnacentral:lncRNA from 1 species